CAACCACGUCACCAAUUGAAGAAAUUGCCCUCGAAAUCUCGCGAAUUUCCGAUCUUCAAUCCAGGAUCGACCGCCUGGUUUUCGAGCUCGAACCUCAUUUGGAACCUCUCCAUGGCGACGCAAAAGCCGUUUCUCUCCUUAGAGCUUUAUCUGAAGCCAAAUCCUAUGCUUCAAAGGAUCAGGUUGUUCACAAUAGGCCUUUGUCUUAUCAUGUGCUGAAAAACCAUGUACAAGCCUUAGAGAGAGAGCUCAACUCGGUUCCUCAGUUUCGGAAGCUGUUAGCAGACGUUGAAUCUAGUGGAGAGAAUUCGAGGCAGGUUUGUUGGGCCGGGAAAGUGCUUGAUAGAAGUAAACGGUUAUGUGAUUAUAUUGGAGCCAAUGAGAAAACAAAGAUUGUUAUCAAGCUGCAGUCAACUGAGUCGUGUCUUGUAUAAUUAGUGGAAACGGCAAGAUGCAUCUGAGGGACCACAAAUGGCUGUGAAGAUGGACGCUGAUAGACCAAGGCACUUGAUUCUCAAACAAGUUACAGGUCUACAGUGCACUGUCAAAUUAUAAUGUAAAUUCUUCCUCAUCUGGUUUGUGUGUUAUAUUUUGGUUUUUGGUUGGAUGAGAAUCCCAAGAAGAAUGAUAAGAGAUUUUGACUUGUGAUGCAUUGACAAUAUCA